GGAUAAUAAAAUUGUGAAUUGCGGCCUUGAAAUCAAGUCAUUGAUAACAUAACAUAAUACAUGUAAUGAUUAUAAAUAGUGUACAAUCAACAUUAUUAAUUGGAAUCAAAUAAAACUGCCAAUGGGCUGCACUUAAAAAUCACAAAUACACAGGCUAGUGAUCAUCCAUUUCUCCUUCAUGCGCAUGGAUUUGGGUGUUCUUAUGAAAUUGAAAGUGAUGGGAACCGAGGACGAUAUUUGCAGGAGAUCUACUGAUGCAUGGCGGUUUCUAGUGCAAGCAUCACCAACUUGGGGCCUAUUCGGUUGCACUCACUCUUGGCUCCGCCGCUGCAACCUCAAGCUCGUCCUAACUGUGAUGAUUUCUUCCACUUGCGAUCAUUAUUCCGAGUCAAUUUCUGAGUCCCGCGUCAACUGUCUGACCCAAACCAGCAUGUUAAACACACGCCAAUAGCAAGCAAAGUCAAUGGUGCAGUCUAGCUCUUUGCUUAACCAGUUCACAAUUUUGGUUCAUUUGUAGUGGUAGCCUCAAGGCUUUGGCAUUUGCUAAUGAUUUGAUUGAAGAAAUCCUGCAAUUCUGACAGAUUAUUUUUCCUGUCAAAGCUAAUGAUCUAGUAAAGCAUAUUGUCAACAUUUUUGUUGAAGCAAGAUUUGUAUUUUACUAAUUUUCCUUCCUUUUCUUGCAUGUUCAGACCCCAACCGGCCUAAGUGCAACAUUGACCUUCAGUGCUGAAUGACCAUGUGCAGGCCUAUAGUCUUUAGUACAGAACUUCAAGACACAUAUUUCUCAACGGACCAGGAGAAGCAGGGAGGAAAAAUGCUGAAAAUAUGAAGCAGUCGAUGUAGCUCAGAGUUGCUACAGAAAAGAGCCCGAUUUAUGACCAUCUCGGCUGUACAGAAAAAAGAGUAAGCAUCAAACGGUGGAGUGGGUAGGGGAUUUCAAUCAAAAGGGGAAAACAUUUAGCAUAAAAUAGCGUGGGAAACAAGUCGUAGUUAGUUAAAUAUGCUCUACAGUGACAAUCAAAAUUGAUGUAGCCUUAGCAAAUGAAAGGGAAACUGAAUUGAAGUGCAUUAAAAUAAUGUUCAAUUGAAUUAACAUCCUAACAUAGCAGACAAAUAAUAAAGAAUGGAUAGCUAAGCAUAAGGCCAUAACUUGAAUUUGUUGAAUUGGAGAAACAACAAAGAUGGAGAACAAUAUUAAUGAAGACUAAUGAUUUUUCAGUAAAGAAAAUGAAGGAUUGGCAUUUAUGCUUUGUAUAGUGUACCAAUAGUAGGUCAAUUCCUUCGGAUUCCAGCAUUCAGACUGUGGCAUCACUCUUUGCUCUUUCCACUGACAAAACUCAUGUCAGUGUCGUCAGUCCUUUAUUUCCACUAUGAAGUUUGCAUACUCUACACUGGGCAUGAGGAAAUAUUUAAAUUUCCGUAUGUAUCUGCAAGAAGGCAAAUCAGAGGUUCAGUCCACUCCAGUAAAAUCUGAUGCUUCUAAAAUGAAAGCACAGUUGAGGUGAUCCAAUGUUGAAAUUGGCUAUCAACGUGGCUUUAUGAAACAAGCAAUUUCCAUUAUUCAGACUUCAAGCAUAUGGCGAAUCAUGAAGUUGUUGAUGUCCACUUCGUUUUAAAUUUUUUGAGCAUGAUGUACCCAUUAUAUCACUUGUUUUAUAUGUUCUGAGCACAGUCCACCUGCAGUACAGGCCUAUACUUUGAGGCGGCUUUGAAGUUUCUGCAUAUUGCGUCUCUAUUGGAAACUCACAAAUGUCUCUUUUUGUAUAUUCAAUUUCUGUAUAUGCUUCCCCAAAUAAAAUGAUUGUAUGCUGGGGUGAACUGAGUGCACAUUAUGAUUCUUUGCAUGAUGCUAGAAAAUACUGUUUUGUAACAGGACAGCUGAUCACAUAUGCUUCAGUCGCAAAAUUCAUAUGUUCCUUUUGAGUUCCAAGGGGCAAAUUAGCAACAGUAGUAAAGUAGUAGCAGCAACAGCACGCAUCAAAAAGCAGGGAAGCAGGAGCAUCACGCGGCAAACACCAGGGAAGUAAAAACAUCACGCACCAAGAGGGUGUCUACCUUGUCCGUGACCGUAGGGGAGGCGUGCGUUCCGCGGAAGCGAGAGCAUCUUCCGCCGUGCGCACAUGCUUUGCUGGUUUACGUUAUGACGGCAGGAGGAACCACCGGCAGGACACGUUCACCGGCGUGAGAUGUUGGCGAAGACGCCCACGGUAGCACGACGACGGGGAGCUCGAGGAGAAUGACUGGAUCUGGCGCCGCCCACCAUCAGAAGGAACCAGCCUUAGUCGAGG
rnacentral:lncRNA from 1 species